CAGGGGCCUCAGAACCCCAGCAGGCAGCCUGUCUCCUUGUUGUGUAGCUUGCUAGAUGGGUAAGUAACUCUACCACAAUUGCAGGCACAAUUGGCCUGGCUAUGUGAAGUCUUGCUUUAGCAUGGUUGCUCAGCAUUAGCUGGGUGACUAGGAUCAUAGCUUUCUUUUGUACCCUACUUUCUUCACCUAGGAAAUGACCAUGGUGAUGCUGGGAAGCAAAGAGCUAAGAGCUGGGCUGUGAUUCCCAGGCACUUUGGGUCGCACGUGGGCUCUUCCACUUACAGGCUUAACCUAGGAUGGACUCCUAAGGCCUUCGGGCCUCGCUUUUCUACAUAGAGUAUAACAAUUUUUAAUUUUGGGGGCUGUGGUAAAGCUUUUUUAAGUGAUGUGUAGGAAUUAGUUACCUUAUCUGUUAGUAAUGGCAGUCAUUAGAGGAGAUAACACAAACCACUUAGGUAGAGCGCAUUACCUGACAUGGUUCAGUCAGUACUGUUUUUGAAACUCUGGCACUAUUAAUGGAUUUUUUAACUACUUGUUCACACUGCUUCUUCUCCAGACUAAAUGUAUAUCCUCCUUGGCCACACCGCCAUAUUGCCAAGCUCUGUCACCUAUCUUUCAUCAGCUUUUGGAAAUAUGUUACAGUGAUGGACUGGACAAUCAGCAGAGAAAUCACUUGUGUGCUUUCAGCGAGCCUGAAAGUAAAUGCCCUUGGAGAAAGGAGUCCAGCAAAGGAGGGGGCUGAUCAUCACCCUGGGAAAACGUCCAAGAUGGUCAGAAAAGACUAGUUGGCUCUGGAGGUCAUCCAAGGCAGGUGGGAGGGAGAAGAAAGCAAUUACAAGUGGGGAGGGAGGGAGGGACCCGGGAAGGAAAUUGGACAGGGUGGAGAGAUGGUGGUGGGGGGUGGGAGGGGAACCUGAUCUGGUAUUGGGUGAGGAAAAAGACUGAAGCUCUGAGGGCCAGCAGAAAAAAAUGGAAACAGGCAACCUUAGGAGGUAGGAGGUUGGGGGGACCCUCCAGAAUGUACCAGAGACCUCGGAGGUAAGAGACUCUCAGGACUCAAAGGAGGGACCUUAGAUGAAAGGCCCUACUUUGGGGAGAAGGAACUUGUCGAGCCCACCUCCAGCAGGAAGACAGGGCAUCAAGUGAGGGAUAGGGUUGCCAUCCCACAGUCACACCUCUGACCCAUAAUUGUUUCUGUCUGAAAGAAUUACAGGGAUGGAAUUGGAGAAGAGCCUGAGGAAAAGAAGGUCCAGCGACAGACCCAAAGUGGGAUCCAGCUCCAGGGGAGGUUCUAAGGCCUGACACUAUUCCUGAGGCCAUGGAGUGAUCACAAAAAGGGAUCUAUCAUGACUGCACUCGGGAAGAUUCAACAAGCAGCUGAAAGGGUCAGAUGCAGGUGGACAGAAGCUGCUGACCCCUGUGGUUGAAUUAGGGAAGGCUGAAAGAAGCUGAGGAGGAGGGCAGCCCUGUAGGAGGGCCAGCAGUCUCAGUUAACCAGGAUCCCCGAGGUCUCUCAAACACUGGACCACCAACCAGGCAGCACACACCAGCUGAUAUGAGGCCCCCAACACAUGUACAGCAGAGGACUGCCAGGUCUGGGUUCAGUCAGAGAAGAUGUACUUAACCCUCAAGAAACUUGGGACCCCAGGGAGUUUAGAUGUCUGGUAGGGUGGGGACAUUCUCAUGGAGACAGGGGGGCAGGGAGGAGGUAUGGGAUGUGGUAUGGGAUGUGGAGCAGUUAGAGAUUGGACCAUGAGGGAGGAGAAUAAAAUCUGGAGUGAAAUAAAUAAAUAAAUAAAU
rnacentral:lncRNA from 1 species